CCUACGGGUGGCAGCAGUGAGGAAUAUUGGUCAGUGGGCGCGAGCCUGAACCAGCCAAGUAGCGUGAAGGAUGACUGCCCUAUGGGUUGUAAACUUCUUUUAUAGGGGAGUAAAGUGCAGUAUGUAUACUGCUUUGCAUGUACCUUAUGAAUAAGGAUCGGCUAACUCCGUUCCAGCAGCCGCGGUACUACGGAGGAUUCGAGCGUUAUCUGGAUUUAUUGGGGUUAAAGGGUGCGUAGGCGGGUUGUUAAGUCAGUUGGGAAAGUUUGGGGAUCAACCGUGAAAUUGCCGGUGAUACUGGCAUCCUUGAGUGCGGUAGAGGUAGGCGGAAUUCGUGGUGUAGCGGUGAAAUGCUUAGAUAUCACGAAGAACUCCGAUUGCGAAGGCAGCCUGCUGGCGUGUAACUGACGCUGAUGCUCGAAAGUGUGGGUAUCAAACAGGAUUAGAUACCCCUGUAGUC
rnacentral:rRNA from 1 species